rnacentral:rRNA from 1 species
UACGUAGGGGGCAAGCGUUGUCCGGAAUCAUUGGGCGUAAAGCGCGCGUAGGCGGCCCGGUAAGUCCGUUGUGAAAGUCAAAGGCUCAACCUUUGAACGCCGAUGGAUACUGCCGGGCUAGAGUCCGGAAGAGGCGAGUGGAAUUCCUGGUGUAGCGGUGGAAUGCGCAGAUAUCAGGAGGAACACCAAUAGCGAAGGCAGCUCGCUGGGACGGUACUGACGCUGAGGCGCGGAAGCGUGGGGAGCGAACAGG